AGUACACACACAUACAACUUUUAUUUUGAAUCGAUUAAUCGUUUUGCAGCCCUAAUAAAGAGUGGCGUGCUACUGUAAUCGCAGUAUACCUCGAUAUGAUCACUACUGGUCUCUUGUGUGACCUCUCAUAAUUGUGUACAUUAUUGUACAUGUAAUAAAAGAAUGAUACACUGACGUUUGACAGUUUUUCACUGGAGAAAGCUGAAUCAGCUGUUAAUCUCAGUUUGACUGCGAUAUAUUACGCUCUCCGGCAGCAUUUUUCAACCCUCCUCAGUAUCUGAUAGCAUCACAUGAUGUUGCUUUUUACAAUGCAAUUAACACGUUUCACCAAAACGCAGCAUUUUGUGUUUCUGAUUUCUUGUGUUGUUGUUGAAUGCAGUAACUCCACGAUUAGAUGCGUGUUUGAUUUCAGGUUAAACGGCUGAUUUGCCAAGAGAACUGAUGCUUUUCAUUCCUUCAACAUCGCGUUUAUUUAAUUCAUUUAAAUCAUCACUCAACAGACUCCGGGGCGGAUCCACCCUCGAGUCGGCAGCUCCGCUGUACCGUCAGACUCUGUUCAGUCAUUCGCCCAGAAUAUGCCCCGCCUUCGGACAGCGCACUGUCAGUUAGCGGACUCAUUAUGGACACGGCGCGGAUUAGCGAUCCGAACGUGGGUUUUUUUUUUGUUUUUUUUUUACCGGUGCCGUCUCAGAAAUCCUCCUCAGAGUGGAGAAGCUGCGGCCGGCCAGGUUGAAGAAGACUGAACUCGGUAAGAAUACUUUUAAAAUAUGCUUUAUUUGUACAGUUGCCAGUAACAUUAAC